AUACUAGAACUUAAUCCGCACCCCCGUGCGGGUGUUUGAUUUAAUUUGUAUUUAACAUAAAAUCAUAAACUGCUGGUUUGAUUAAAAAAUUCCAUAUAUAUUUUUUAUGUUUUGUAAUGUACAUAUAUAUAGAGUAGAAUCGUCUAUGUAAUCUUUCUCAUAUCAUAAUUGUAAUAUCAUAAUAAAUCAGCGUUAAAAAAAGAGAAUAAAAUAUAUUAUUUUAUAAUAUAGAUGUUUGAUAAUAAUUUUUUUUAUUUGUAC
rnacentral:lncRNA from 1 species